rnacentral:rRNA from 1 species
UACGGAGGAUCCAAGCGUUAUCCGGAAUUAUUGGGCGUAAAGAGCUCGUAGGCGGUUUGUCGCGUCUGCUGUGAAAACUCAGGGCUUAACUCUGAGCUUGCAGUGGGUACGGGCAGACUAGAGUGCGGUAGGGGAGACUGGAAUUCCUGGUGUAGCGGUGAAAUGCGCAGAUAUCAGGAGGAACACCGAUGGCGAAGGCAGGUCUCUGGGCAUUAACUGACGCUGAGGAGCGAAAGCAUGGGGAGCGAACAGG